AGUUGUCAGAAGGUGCUAAAAGGAGCUGCUUGUGGGACUGCUGAUGUUAUAACCUGAAAAUAACUCCGAGACUCUAGCGAAGUGCUUGUGUCUUUCGGAUCAUAAUUAUAUAAACACCUGAACCCGGAGCGAAGCUUCAGGACCGAGUUUAAGCAGCGGGAUGGAGUGGUUUGGAGGCGGCGCUUUUCAUUCUCAACAGGACCGAAAUGAAAACAUGACCCGCACACACCCACACGAGUCCGCUGCGGAGAGCAUGGCAUCUCUGUGCCAGCGUCAGCAGCACUGUGUGAAGGCCUCCAUCAGGUCGCAGUGGCAGCUGGCAGAAGCGCAGAACCAGCUGUGCGGUCUGGAGCUUCACAGCUCAGAAUCUGUGGAACAGGAGCGCGCUCAAGCACUUGCCUCCUCCACUGAACUCUCACAGAUCGAACAGGAGUGGAGACAUAAAGAAAGCAUGAUGGGAAGUAGUCCAGCGCUGUGUCCAGAUGCCAGCCACGAUGUGUUCGACAAGAGUAUCAUAAACAAUUCACAGUCUUGGCCUUAUGAAACGGAUCAUGAUAAAAGCUUAAACUUCGUCCAGUGUAAUGAAGAGCUCUUGAAACAUUUUGGCAUGUUGAGAAGGUGGGAUGAUAGUCAGCGCUUUCUAUCGGAGUACCACAAUCUCAUAUGUGAAGAAACAGCCAAUUACUUGAUCCUGUGGUGCUUCCGACUACAGGCAGAGCAAAAAGAGGCCUUAAUGGAGCAGGUGGCUCAUCAGGCUGUCGUCACGCAGUUUAUCCUAGAGAUGGCUCGAAAUGCUCAGCAGGAUCCACGAGGCUGCUUCCGUCAGUUCUUUCAGAAAGCCAAAGCAGGGCAAGAGGGAUACCUGGACGUCUUCCACACAGAACUUGAGGCCUUUAAGCAGAGAGUAAAAGAGUACACUAUGAAAUCUAAAGGGGAAAUCCCAAAGGAGACAGCGCACCAAAACACACCGGCAGGCUGUCGACUCGACCCCAAAAAGGUUUUGGAGACUUUGCCACCAGAGCUGAAAACAUGCAUCCAGAUGCAAGAUAUGCAUAUUCUCCAGAAUGUGCUGAGCACCAUGAACCCACAGAUCUGUAUGUGAAUGGAUGUGCAGAUUUAUAGUGAAUGCUGCAGUUAAUUGUGGAAAAUGCAUAUCGAUGGGUGUGCUGUUACUGAGAAAUAAACUCCACCAGCCCUCUAGUGCCGUGUAGAUACAGCAUCACGCAAAAACAGAAGUUUGUAGUUGCUGAUGUCAUAAAAAUACACUAUCCGCAGUCUGCCUUAAUUCAUUUAUUCUGCGAGUGAUAGCAUCCAACAGGUGGCAGAAUAUCAUGUAAAACUUUGGACAAAUACACCCAGAGCCUCUAAAGAGGAGAGUUCAGAAACAGACGAGUGGAGAAUGAUGGAAACCUAACAGUGAAGAGGCGCUCACAAUCAGUCCAUGAAGCUUCAAUAGGAAAACAGCUUUGGGUCAGAGGACAGGAAGACAAAGGGCUCUGCCCAAAGACUUUUGUUUUGUUAAUGUGCCUGAAUCUGUGCUGCACUUUAUUUUUGUUUAAAAGAGAACUUUUUUUUUUUUUUUUUAAGUACGAGGAACUGUAUUUUAAGGCACUUACAUUUUUGUGCACAAAUUUUUGUUACAUCUCUGUUGCUGAAUUUCUCUGUUUUAGCAGUUUAGAAAAGUUUAGGAAAGUGUUACAUGUUCUAAGCAGAAGUGCAAAUGGGAACCUCAUAAAUAUUGGUGCAGUUUAUAUUUUGUGUUUAUUUGGGUUUUCAAUCUCCAAGGUCAGUUAUGUUUGAGAAGUGUUCUCCCACGAAGAGAGCGUAAACCUAUUUUUCGUUUGAACAUUUUGUCAAACAGCAGUUUUUAUAUUCCACCGUUGGAUUCUGAUCUACAACGUCCACUCUAGCUGCUAUCUGGAAACCGUUUCAUGAGUCACACAUGCAUGGACGCAGUAGAUUACAGUCGGCUUCCUGCAGAUAGACCAUCGACACUAAAGAGAAGGAGGACCACCCACUUUGCUCGCAUUCUCGUAGAAGCAUUUGAAAGCAUUUUAUGGCAGCUAUAAGACCUUUGCAAAAAGUGAUUUGCAGAUCCUUUGAAAAUUCGGCUCAGUAACUCUCAGUAUUUGGAAAACGGCAAUAUUUAAAGGAAACGUUCUCCUUGAAAUUUAAAAAUUCUGUCAUCAUUUACUCACCCUCAUAUUGUUCCAAAUUUGUAUGACUUUCUCCUGUGCAACUAUUCUGAGUGCUUUGAAGCCUUAUUGAAGCUUUGUGUGAGGAACAGACUGAAAUUUAAGUCGUUAUUCACUGAAAAUCUUCCGAUCCGUCGCAGCUCUCAAAUCUCAUUUGCACCUCUGCGUAUUCAAGUUUUGCACGUCUAGACAUGUCUCUAUAGACAAUAGAUUUUCAGUGAAUAAGAACUUUGGUCUUUUGCUGUUGAAUAGCUUCGAAAGACUUGGAUUAUAGAAAGACUUUUGAGCUUUCAUUGUAUGUGUGGACAUUCUUUGAGUAACUGAUGACAGAAUUUUACCUUUAAGAUAAACUAUUCUAUUAAGUUUCCUUCAGUUACACUGAAAAAGACUGAACACUCAUUCACUAGAUCAAAAUGUAAACAGAAAACUGAAGGCUGAUGAGUUUUAAGAUAACAGAGAUGGGUGGUUUUGAUCUGUCUUGUAGACUAUAUUAAUAUCAUCUUUCAUGUUAAGAAUACAACUUUCAGAUAUGCCAUUUUUAGCUCAUUGAGCCAGUUUGCAUUGAUUGUUACUGCACACAGUGCAUAUACAGCAAACCCAGAAAUUAUGUACAACUGCAAACAAUGGGUUGAUAAUAUUGUGAAAGUCUUUGCAAUCAGAACAAUAUCUUAAACUGAUUAGCUGUGUGAACUGUGUGAAAUGUUUCAUUUACAGUACAUGUUGAAGUUUCACUUGUUGAUCAAGCUAUUAAAUCAGUUUGAAUUUCAGGAGAUCACAUGUUAAAGGAAUAGUUCACCCAAAAAUGAAAGUUCUCUCUUCAUUUACUCACCUUCAUGCCAUCCUAGAAGUGUAUGACUUUUUUCCUUCUGCUGAACACAGAUUUUUAGGAAAAUAUUUUGGCUCUGUAGCUCCAUAUAAAUGCAAGUGAAAGGUGACCAAAACUUUGAAGCUCCUAAAAGCACAUACAGCAUAAAAGUAAUCCAUACAACUCCAGUGGUAAAAUCCAUGUCUUCAGAAGUGAUAUGAUAGGUGUGGGUGAGAAACAGAACAAAAUUUAAGUCAUUUUUUAUUAUAAAUCUCCAUUUUACCUUCCACAUUCUUCUUUUGCUUUUGGCAAUUCAAAUUAUUUGUGCAUAUCGGCACCUUCUGGUCUGGCCAAAUGUGGAGAUUCAUUGUAAAAAAAAAAAAAGGGGCUUAAAUAUUGAUCUGUAGCUCACCCAAACUUAUAUCACUUCAGAAGACAUUGACUAAACCCAUGGAGUCUUAUGGAUUACUUUUAUGUUGCCUUUAUGUGCUUUUAGAAGCUUUCAAAGUUCUGGUCACCAUACACUUGCAUUGUAAGGACCUACAGAGCUGAAAUAUUCUUAUAAAAAUCUUUGAAUUGUGUUCAGUGGAAGAAAAUCACACACAUCUGGGAUGACAUAGGGUGAGUAAAUGAUGAGAGACUUUUCAUUUUUGGGUGAAAUAUUGCUUUAAUAUAAUCCUUGAAGUGAAGGUAAACCAAUUUAGCUUGCUGUCCAUAAUGGAGGGCAUGAGCUCAAGACUUGACCUGAACUCUUAUUACUCCUCUGUAGUUAGUUAAAUUUAGUUUAGUAAUAACUAGGCAUAAGGUGGAGUCUGGGUGUUGCUGGAAGAAAAGAGGUAGGAGUGAGGCAAGCAACAGUUUAUAUACAGGUAUAUUUACUCAACCGUUGUCAUUGGUCAGAAUAAAUGAAUGUAUAUAUGUCAAGCACUUUUGACAUUUAUUCCUUAAAGCUUACUGGUAUUUAUUUUUAUGUUACUAGUAGUCUACUUAUUUAGUUAUUAGUAAGUAUUACAAUAGUGUUCUGUUUCUUUUUACAUUUUAAUAGUAUAUUUUCAUUAGAUACUAGUACUUGUUCAUUGGUAACUAGUACAUAUUCAAAUAGACAGUGUCUAUUCAGUAGUCUCUAUGUAUUAUUUUGCCACAUGUAUUUUAUUACUAUUGUUACCUGCUAAAUUUUGCUGUUGGUGAACUGUGAUUAAACUAUUUACUUUUCCAAUAGUGACUAGUAUACCUUUAAUUUUACUAGUAAAUGCAUUGUUAAGUACUUUCUCCAAUAGUGACUAGUAUCUGUUUUAGUUUUACUAUACUUAUUUAUUAGAUAUUGGAACUUAUUUAUUAGGCACUAGUUUCUAUUCCAAUUGUUACUAGUAACAUUUUAAAUUUUACUGGCAAGAUUUUUUUAAUUGAACUAUAAAAUAGACAUUCUGACUAGUCAUUACAUUUGACAAGCAAAAACCAAUUGAAACUAGUGACUUGUAGCAAAGGAAUAAGUACUAGUAAUGAAAAUGUACUAUUGGAAUAAAUACUAGUGUCUAAUGAGUAAGUGCUAGUUAAUAAAAUAUACUAGUCGCUAUUGGGAUACUUACUAGUAACAUAAAAAUAGACACAAGUACGUUUUGAGGAAUAAAUAUCAAAUUGCUUGCCAUAAACACGCUCCUUCUAAACUUUUGUUUAGAGCUUCAUUUCAAAACUGGUGAUUUUUUCACCUCACUACAUUGCAAAUAUGCAACGGUGGUCUAAAACGUCACUGUAUUGGGGGGAGGGGCUUUUUCUUGAUUGACAGAGUGGGGUUAGUGGGUUUGUACAAUGAAACUAUUUUAAAGUGUACUGUGCACUGUAAAUACUAAUAGUAAUCUUAAAUUGCUUAGGUUUUUACUAUUCUUACUAGUUUUAAUGAAGUUACCAUUAAUCUCUAAAUCCUAAAGUUGUCAUUAAUGAAAACAUUUAAGUGGUCCUAAUUAAACAGUACUUGAAAUGUCA